GCAUGAAGUAAUACUAAAGGAAUUGUUUCAAUGAUUACGAGCGGCAAACUUGACAGCACAUCCCAACAAGUGUUUUAUUGGGUACGAAACAAUCAAAUUUCUGGGGCAUGUUUUGAAGGAAAGGCAAGCUUUAACCUCGACCAGAGUAUCGUGGAUGCAAAACAGCCGGAAACGAAAAAAGCAACUCCGACCUUUCCUGGAAAUGCAACUUUGUGAGCUGCCGAACUAAAAAGGUGCAAAGUAACAUUAGCAGUCGAGACUACUGAUGUAUGAGAGGACAGACAAAUCCUUACUGCAAGACAUUGUAUCAAAGUAUCAAUGGCACUAUACAGCAACAGAGCAUGACCAAUGUUGCAAGACAGGAAAAGUAUACUGAAGUUUAGAUGGAACAUCUUGCACAGUUCAAAAGAGUAAUCGUGGUGAAAGACCAAAACAAUGAUUUGUAUCUUUAACGAGUUACUGGAUGAAGAAAACUUGUCAUUCUGAAAUAUUGACUAUACAGUAUUAUAGCGAAUUGCAACAAGAUGAGGAAGAGUAACCAGGACUACUAUUAUAAUUAACUUGCAUUUUAACUUUUAGUUAAUUUAAUUGGUGAUGGCUAAUAGUUUGCAAGAUAAGAUAAGACAACGUCUUGCUGAAUAUUGAGACAGCUUAAUCACAGUAAAAGAAAACAUGACACGCGAUUGUAUUUUUUAUCAGAAUAUCGAAGGAAUUUGAGAAAUUACUUUUAAAAAGUUUAUUGCAGAUUGAAGAGAGCUUGCAUCAUUGUAAAAUAUUGAACCAAGAGAAACAAUUUCCUGUAAUUAAUUUUUUGCAUGUUUAUGUAAAUUCAUAUAUCAAUUCAUAUGAUUUUGUUGUGAAGAUUUUAUAAUAAAAAAUAUAAGUAAUGUGU